rnacentral:rRNA from 1 species
GACGUAGGGGGCAAGCGUUAUUCGGAAUCAUUGGGCGUAAAGCGCUCGUAGGCGGGACAACAAGUCCGUGCAGAAAGACCUGGGCUCAACUCAGGGAACGGCACGGAUACUGUUGUUCUUGAGGCAAUCAGAGGGUGAUGGAAUUCCCGGUGUAGCGGUGAAAUGCGUAGAUAUCGGAAGGAACAUCAGUGGCGAAAGCGGCUUCCUGGUCCAGCACCGACGUUCAGGCACGAAAGCGUGGGGAUCAAACAGG